AAAUAAAUAAAAUUGUCAGGUACAUGCAUGUAUAAUAGGGAAAGCGGUGAAAAUCCGCUGCAGCCCCCGCUACUGUAUACGGCGACGAAACCUAAUUCCACUGGCGUUAUCGCUGGGAAGGAAGGUGGAGAAAGACCCGUUAGCCAGGAGACCUGCCUGAGAUUAAAAGUCCUU
rnacentral:ncRNA from 1 species